CCUACGGGAGGCUGCAGUGAGGAAUAUUGGUCAAUGGCCGGAAGGCUGAACCAGCCAUGCCGCGUGAAGGUCAGUGCCCUAUGGGCGUUAAACUUCUUUUGUGCGGGAGCAAUAAUGGUCACGUGUGGCCAGACGAGAGUACCGUACGAAUAAGCAUCGGCUAACUCCGUGCCAGCAGCCGCGGUAAUACGGGGGAUGCAAGCGUUAUCCGGAUUUAUGGGGUUUAAAGGGGUGUUAGGCGGGGGGGUAAGCCAUGGGUGAAUGGCCCCGCUCAACGGGGUGAAGUGCCAUUGGUACUGCCUUGCUGGAAUGCGGAUGCCGUGGGAGGAAUGUGUGGUGUAGCGGUGAAAUGCAUAGAUAUCACACAGAACACCGAUUGCGAAGGCAUCUCACGAAUCCGCGAUUGACGCUGAUGCACGAAAGCGUGGGUAUCAAACAGGAUUAGAUACCCGGGUAGUC
rnacentral:rRNA from 1 species